UCAAGAAGGUACACCUUUACUACACAGACAGGCCACGGAGACGGUUAUUUUAGUUAUUUUCCCGAAACUGUGGAAGAUUUCAGCUUGAACUUUGUUUGAUGUCUGACUGCUCGCCAUGCCCUUCGCUCAGGUGGUGUGACCAGCUCUGUUCCCAUCCUAAAACCCACAGACGCUGCUACGCACUCUGCUGGGAACCGUGGCUGAAAUGGACACUUGAAUUUCAGUCAUUGUUUCUGGUAGUGGGCGCAGCAGAUGAUCAGCUCUACCACUUUCUCAUGGAAUGACAUCACACCCUCAGAGGAGAGGAGGAACGUGUAGGUGUAGGCCAGUCAUCUGGCAGCUACUGAGGUGUUCUUGUCACAGUCUCUAGGUGGCAGCAGAAAGAAAUGCAAAGCAUGUUAUUCAAGCUAGUGUUUCACAACUUUCACACUGAUUCAUCUCCAGAAACAUUUGUAUUUCAAAUGAGAGUAUUACAUCAAACAGCAACAAUCAGUAAACUGGCAAUGCAGACCUUCUACUUUUGGACUGCCUUCAGUUAACCAGCUAACUUAGAAAUCCUGCUUUGUGAAAUACCCCCCAGGACUGGAGUUAGGAAGAUCUGCUAAAGCUGUGAAGUUUUUAACAAGGUUAUUCUGUAGGUGGAGUUGGCACAGGCAAGGAGCCAUGAAUAUCUAAGGCAUGCAGGUGAACCAGCCUUAGACCAAGGUGCUCCUCCACUCCCUAACUUCCUCAUUCAUUAAAAGGGUUGUUUUUGCUCCGAGCAAUCACAACAUGGCUCAUAGCGCAUCCACGUUUCUUAUGCUGCCAUUAUCCCAAGAUGACUUUCUGUUAAGAGGCCUCUGACAAGCUCCAACAGCUCUCACUGAAAUCACACCACUGCUUUCAAUACGUUUUCAGUCAUGCAACAUGUUUGGUUACAGAUAAAAGUGGAAAAUGAUCGAUAUGCCAGUCUUGAUCUUAAAUAACUGUCAAAAUGUGUCAAUAAUGAUGAAUGAGGCUGUUGAAGAUUCAGUAGCUGAGAAAGUGGAUCAGCACUGAACGAAGUGAAAAUGCAACAUUCAGAAUGUCUCAUGUUUCCAAACCGGUGAUCAAAUUUCAAGGCAGAUGACCGUAAAUAUACAGGUAUAUGCAAAAGUUUUUUGUUCGUUAUGCUUCGUGUUGAUUUUGUAAGUGAAAUUUAGUACAUUCUGCACAUUUUAAUGCAGUUACUGUUUGUUUGCUGAAUCAAAUGUACCGGGUGUGAAUGUAAAAACGCUGCCUGUGGAAAAGUUGUGGCACAUUUUAUAUUUUUUAAUUAAACUCUGCAAAAGAAACUGUGCGCCAACAUCUGCAGAAAUGUAUAGAAAAGUGCUCUGUGCAGAGAAUGGGUUCAGUUAUUUUCACUUAGACCAGGGGUGGUCGAACUUUUGCUGUAUUAUUUAAUCAUUUGAUAACUUCAUGCUGUCCUCAAGAACCUAAAUUGUUAAAUAAAACUACUCUAAUUAAACUGCA